AUUGCUUCUCAGCCUUUUGGCCAAGGUCAAGUGUGAUAUCUGUUCUUAUCAGUUUAAUAUCUGAUAUGCCCCCUAUCUGGGGACCAUAUAUUAAAUGGAUUUUUGAGAUUUUUGCUUCCAUCCCCCUUUGCAUGCAUCUUCAGGUAUAGUGUACCAAAAAGAAAAACUUCUAGUGAGAACACAAUCAAC